rnacentral:rRNA from 1 species
ACUCAAAGGAAUUGACGGGGGCCCGCACAAGCGGUGGAGCAUGUGGUUUAAUUCGACGCAACGCGAAGAACCUUACCAGGUCUUGACAUCUUCCUGAAUGGUGUAGAGAUAUGCCAGGCCUUUCGGGGACAGGAGGACAGGUGGUGCAUGGUUGUCGUCAGCUCGUGUCGUGAGAUGUUGGGUUAAGUCCCGCAACGAGCGCAACCCUUAUUGCUAGUUGUCAGCACGUGAUGGUGGACCCUCUAGCGAGACUGCCGGUGACAAACCGGAGGAAGGUGGGGAUGACGUCAAAUCAUCAUGCCCUUUAUGACCUGGGCUACACACGUGCUACAAUGGCCUGUACAGAGGGAAGCGAAGCCGCGAGGUGGAGCAAAUCCCAAAAAGCAGGUCUCAGUUCGGAUCGCAGGCUGCAACUCGCCUGCGUGAAGUCGGAAUCGCUAGUAAUCGCGGAUCAGAAUGCCGCGGUGAAUACGUUCCCGGGCCUUGCACACACCGCCCGU